GGUCCCAUCGUAUAUCGGCUAGUACACUCGGUUUUGAUUGCUUCAGGAUGUCCGAGAAAGGCCGGUUCGAUUCCGGCUGGGACCU
rnacentral:tRNA from 1 species